UGUAAAAUGCAGUAUAACAACGAUGCUAGCUCUAGUUCAAGUUCUUUGAGUUCAAGAGCAAAAGAUAAAGCUGGGUUGGAUAUACUACUUUGCCACUGUGGAAUUCCAUCAAAGCUAAGGAUUUCUGCCAAAGAUACUAGUUUUGGCAGACGAUUUUUCAAUUGUCCAAAGUAUAAGAUGGACAAACAGUGCGGAUUUUUUCAAUGGAUUGAUUUUGAAAUGGAACAAAACAGAUGUUGCAAAAUUACAUUGGAGUUAGCUCAAAGAAGGAACAACAGGAUCAAUGAAACACGUAGGUUCCUUGAAGAAAA